UAGCUCAGGGAUUGGAAACGCACCAGUCAGCACCCUGUCAAAACAGACCACUCGGCUCUCUGUAAAAUGGACCAAUCAGCAGGAUGAGGGUGGGGCCAGAUAAGAGAAUAAAAGCAGGCUGCCAGCGCUAGCAGUGGCAACCCGCUUGGGUCCCGGUCCAGCUGUGGAAACUUUGUUCUUUUGCUCUUUGCAAUAAAUCUUGCUGCUGCUCACUCUUUGGGUCCACACUGCCUUUAUGAGCUGUAACACUCACUGCGAAGGUCUGCAGCUUCACUCCUGAAGCCAGCGAGACCAAGAACCCACCGGGAGGAACCGAAAACUCCAGACGCCGCCUUAAGAGCUGUAACACUCACCGCGAAGGUCCGCAGCUUCACUCCUGAGCCACCGAGACCACGAACUCCACCAGAAGGAAGAAACUCCGAACACAUCCGAACAUCAGAAGGAACAAACUCCAGACACGCUGCCUUUAAGAACUGUAACACUCACCGCGAAGGUCUGCAGCUUCACUCCUGAGCCAGCGAGACCACAAACCCCACCAGAAGGAAGAGACUCCGAACACAUCCGAACAUCAGAAGGAACGAACUCUGGACACGCCGCCUUUAAGAACUGUAACACUCACAGCGAGGGUCCGCGGCUUCAUUCUUGAAGUCAGUGAGAGCAAGAACCCACCAAUUCUGGACACACAAUCACGGCUCACCGCAGUCUUGAAUUCCUGGGCUCAAGCAGUCCUCUCACCUCAGCCUUCGGAGUAGCUGGGAUUAAAGAUCACUGCUCUCUGAGUGUGAGAUGCUUGGAGGUGAAGCAGCUCUCCUUUUCCUGCAAGUGCAAGGCCCAUAGUGGCGUGGAUGCUGGCACAGCUUCCUGACUUCAUUGAGCUCUUGAGCCAGUUCUGGAACCACUCACCUCCAGACUUCUUGUCAUGUGAGGUAUUCCUUAAACCACAGGUUACAACAUCGUCCUUGAAAAAUUUCAUCACAUUUUCUGCAUCUUGCAUAUUAAAAGAAGCCUGAAAUUUGAAGGCAGUGUUUACCUCAAAGUUGUUCCACUCUGUACCAUUUAACAAUCAG